AGUAUUUUGACUAUACAAAGGUAUUGAAAUAAGACUUUAAUUGAGUGCUAAGAGAAUGGAAUUUCAUAAAAUUUCUUUUUUAAUUUUAAAAAUUGAAAUUAAUUUUAUAUGUGAAGAAACAAUAAUAAAAAUUAAGGACAAGAAGACCCUAAGAAUUUUAAAAAUUUCAAUAAAAUGCUGUAUUUUAUUGAAAUUUUUUAAUUGGGGCGAUUAUUAAAUAUUAAAAACUUUAAUUUUUUUAAAAAAGAACCAAUAAUAUUGGUUAUUUGAAAAAAUACUCUAGGGAUAACAGCGUAAUAAUUUUUGAUAGUUCUUAUAGACAAAAUAGUUUGCGACCUCGAUGUUGGAUUAGGAUUCUUUUUUAAUGAAGAAGUUAAAAAAAGAAGUUUGUUCAACUUUUAAAAUCCUA
rnacentral:rRNA from 1 species